rnacentral:rRNA from 1 species
AAAGGAAUUGACGGGGACCCGCACAAGCAGCGGAGCAUGUGGUUUAAUUCGAAGCAACGCGAAAAACCUUACCAAGACUUGACAUCGUACGACGACUGUAGAAAUGCAGUUUUCCUUCGGGACGUAUAGACAGGUGGUGCAUGGUUGUCGUCAGCUCGUGUCGUGAGAUGUUGGGUUAAGUCCCGCAACGAGCGCAACCCUUAUCAACAGUUGCCAAUAUUCAGUUAGGAACUCUGUUGAGACUGCCGUGGAUAACACGGAGGAAGGUGAGGAUGACGUCAAAUCAUCAUGCCCCUUACGUCUUGGGCUACACACGUGCUACAAUGGCUAUUACAAAGAGCAGCAAACCGGUAACGGGGAGCAAAUCUCACAAAGAUAGUCUCAGUUCGGAUUGUGGGCUGCAACCCGCCCACAUGAAGUAGGAGUUGCUAGUAAUCCCGAAUCAGCAUGUCGGGGUGAAUGCGUUCCCGGGUCUUGUACACACCGCCCGU